rnacentral:misc_RNA from 1 species
AAGUCGUAACAAGGUUUCCGUAGGUGAACCUGCGGAAGGAUCAUUAAAAUAAUACUUACACUUUGCAUUUGCGAACAAAAAAAGAACAUUACACUUCUAAUAUAUUUUUAUCAAAACUUUCAACAACGGAUCUCUUGGUUCUC